UUCAUUCAUGUUAACGAGCUUGGGUAAC
rnacentral:sRNA from 1 species